rnacentral:rRNA from 1 species
ACAACUUUCAGCAACGGAUCUCUUGGCUCUCGCAUCGAUGAAGAACGCAGCGAAAUGCGAUAAGUAAUGUGAAUUGCAGAAUUCAGUGAAUCAUCGAAUCUUUGAACGCACCUUGCACUCCUUGGUAUUCCGAGGAGUAUGCCUGUUUGAGUGU